UAACCCCGGCACCCCAUGGGGAAAUGCUGUGUCUAAUGAAGCCACUGUUUUGUAGCUCAGUGAUUUGUUUCCUUAGCUCUUCCAUUUCGAUGCGGCUCAUUCGGUAAGGAGCUACCGAAAUGGGUUGGGUUCCUGGCUGUAAGUCUAUGGUGAACUCGACCUCUCUGUCCCCUGGUAGACCGGGCAGUUCAUCCGGAAAUACGUCUAGAAAGUCUCGGACUACUGGAAUCUCUUGGAUACAAACUUCUUUCUUGGGUUUACCUAGUUAGGGAAAAUACAAUAUUAAGGCACUGGGAAUUAAGAAGAAAAGAAUUUGUCAUUAGGGAAAAUCAGUACCGAAUAAUUUUAUUAACUUGUAAAUGGCUCCUCGUUGGGAGGAUUAAAUACAAUCUUUUUAUUAAAGCAGUCUAUGGUGGCG
rnacentral:lncRNA from 1 species